CUUGCUCCAGCUCGUCCCAGCCUCCCAUGGGACAGGAGAAAUGGCUGUAGUGGAGCCAGCUCAGGAGCCGGUGACCUUAGAGGAGGUGUCUGUGUAUUUCACCAGGAAAGAGUGGGCUCUGCUGGACCCCGCUCAGAGAGCCCUCUACAGGGAGGUCAUGCAGGAGAACUGUGAGAAUGUGACCUGACUGGGGUUUCCAGUUUCCCAACCCUCUGUGAUCUUCCAGCUGGAAUGAGGUGAAGAGCCGAGGGUCCUGGAUCUCCCUGGUUCAGUGGAAAGCGAGAUCCUGGGAAGUCCCUGCACAGGUGAUGGGGUGGUGAGGGAGAGCGAGGAGCAGAAUCCUCACCAGG